rnacentral:rRNA from 1 species
AGAGUUUGAUCAUGGCUCAGGAUCAACGCUGGCGGCGUGCAUGAGACAUGCAAGUCGAACGGACGAUCGAGGCUUGCUUCGAUCGUUAGUGGCGGACGGCUGAGUAACGCGUAGGUGACCUGCCCCGAAGUGGGGAAUAACUGCCCGAAAGGGUGGCUAAUACCGCAUGUGGUGGUGUGUUCAAUCACACCAGUAAAGCCGCAAGGCGCUUCGGGAGGGGCCUGCGUCCGAUUAGCUCGUUGGUGGGGUAACGGCUCACCAAGGCGACGAUCGGUAGGUGGUCUGAGAGGACGAUCACCCAGACUGGGACUGAGACACGGCCCAGACUCCUACGGGAGGCAGCAGUCGGGAAUUUUGCGCAAUGGACGAAAGUCUGACGCAGCAACGCCGCGUGAGGGAUGAAGGCCUUCGGGUUGUAAACCUCUUUUGUCAGGGAAGAUAAUGACGGUACCUGACGAAUAAGUCACGGCUAACUACGUGCCAGCCGCCGCGGUAAUUC